rnacentral:tRNA from 1 species
GCCUGGGUGGCUCAGUCGGUUGAGCAUCUGACUUCGGCUCAGGUCAUGAUCUCAGUUUGUGAGUUCAAGCCCCAUGUCGGGCU